AGUCCAAGCCUCGCCGGAGACUGGAUGGGCCCAGCCAAAGUAAGUGGGCUGCGUCCUCUGGGUCCUGAGGCGGGAGUCUGGCCGCAGUGACUAGACUAACUGUGCCCCGGAGGCUGCUCGGAAUUCCACUUAAUGCUGGAAGCACGCAGACGCUCUUGAGGCGGGCAGCUGCGUAGCGUGUGGAGGAGCCGGGAGAGUGCACUCCAAUAUGGGACCUGAGCGUCUGAGACCGAAUCAGGAUGGGGAGUCGGAAGGGGACAAAUCUGCGAUCCCAGUCACGCAUGCGAGACUGGGCAAAGGAAGGCUCGAGUGUGUGUAAGACUGCGGUGGGACUGCUUGUGCUGGUGAGAUGAGGGGUGUCUGGGUAGUUGAGUGAAAGAAACCGCGUGCCAGUAAGAUUGGUGCAUGUGUGAGAAAGGUGAGGUCAAGAUGUGUGCACCUUUGCGGGUGGGGAGGUCAUAUGGAGUGUGUGGAGGCUGGGGGCAAGAUCGUGUAUGGAUCUGUGUGUGAAUGUGUGUAAUCACCUAAAUGUGGGUCACUGCAUGGGUAGCUGAUACUGUGACUGUGGAGGAAUCUGAACCUCCAAGUCUCAUUUUCUCUUUAAAUUGUGAUAAGUUUGUAUCUUCCUGGAGCAGCAAUUUCAAAGGGGGGAAGCUCCAUUAUUGAUAUAAUAAAAUAGCAUUUUUAUGUAAACAUUUAACAUUCAGACAUUUCUUCUGAACUAGAAAACAAAAUCAGUAUGAGUACUCAAAGUAGUUUUAAAAAAAAACCCGUCAUUAUGCAUAUGGGGAAGAUAAAUUGUGAAAGGGAAACUUCCUUUUUUCACUAUAAUCUUGUUUAAAUUUUUAAAAUCAAUGUGAUGACUUAUUUGAAAACAAAUAUAAAAUUAAAAAACUGACAGAAAGGGGAACUAGGAGGAAAUCAAUAACUCUUUAAGCUAGAAACUUUGGGAGGUGGCAGAGGUUGCUGAAAUAUGAUGGCGGGAAGUAUAUGACAACAGGAAAUGCUGACGUAAAAUCUAAUCCUGAAGCUUUUAACAAUGGCAGGAAAGGCUGGGCAUGGUGGUUCAUGCCUAGUGAUCCCAAGCACUUUGGAAGGCUGAGGCAGGAGGAUCACUUGAGCCCAGCAGUUUGAGACCAGCCUGAACAGCAUACUCUCUACAAAAAAA
rnacentral:lncRNA from 1 species